rnacentral:rRNA from 1 species
UCUGGCGGCAAUAGCAAGUUGGAACCACCUGAUCCCAUCUCGAACUCAGAAGUGAAACAGCUUAGCGCCGAUGGUAGUGUGGGGCCUCCCCAUGUGAGAGUAGGACACCGCCAGGC